UGGCCCCUACGGGGCGCAGCAGUGGGGAAUAUUGCACAAUGGGGGGAACCCUGAUGCAGCGACGCCGCGUGGGUGAAGGAGUAUUUCGGUAUGUAAAGCCCUAUCAGCAGGGAAGAACAAUGACGGUACCUGACUAAGAAGCACCGGCUAAAUACGUGCCAGCAGCCGCGGUAAUACGUAGGGGGCAAGCGUUAUCCGGAUUCACUGGGUGUAAAGGGAGCGUAGACGGCGACGCAAGUCUGGAGUGAAAGCCCGGGGCCCAACCCCGGGACUGCUCUGGAAACUGCGUCGCUGGAGUACGGGAG
rnacentral:rRNA from 1 species